rnacentral:ncRNA from 1 species
UCAAAUGCGACGAAGAGAAAAGUAAAUAAAUGAAUUCUUUCACAGAGAGCUCCGUUUGCUGAAAAGGAGUAAGGGUUCCUUAUUGAAGAAAGUCUCAGAGCAGCACAUCGGAGCCCAUGAUCGUUGGGGGGUGGUGUGCCAGGAGCUCCUGUUACAGAGCUAGAGUAUAAGCAUUGCAUCGUAAUGCCGUACUUGAAGAGGCUAAUAUGGCGACAUAUUGGCGAAUUUGGGGUGGUACCACGAGUAUACAAAUCUCGUCCCUAAG